rnacentral:pre_miRNA from 1 species
GUCUCUCUGAUUAAGUGGUUCUCAACAGUUCAACAGUUCUUUAACAAAAUUGUGAAAUGUUUAGGACCACUUGACCAGUA